CAGCCGCCGCGGUAAUACCGGCAGCACGAGUGAUAGCCACUAUUAUUGGGCCUAAAGCGUCCGUAGCCGGCUACACAGGUCCGUCGGGAAAUCCACCCGCUCAACGGGUGGGCGUCCGGCGAAAACCAGGUAGCUUGGGGCCGGAAGACCAGAGGGGUACGUCCGGGGUAGGAGUGAAAUCCCGUAAUCCCGGACGGACCAUCGGUGGCGAAAGCGCCUCAGGAGAGCGGAUCCGACGGUGAGGGACGAAAGCUAGGGUCUCGAACCGGAUUAGAUACCCGGGUAGUCCUAGCCGUAAACGAUGCUCGCUAGGUGUGGCGCUGGCUACGAGCCAGCGCUGUGCCGUAGGGAAGCCGUGAAGCGAGCCGCCUGGGAAGUACGUCCGCAAGGAUGAAACUUAAAGGAAUUGGCGGGGGAGCAC
rnacentral:rRNA from 1 species